rnacentral:tRNA from 1 species
GCUCUGAUAGCUUAACCAUUAAAGCACUGGUCUUGUAAACCAGAAAUGAGAUAAUACCUCUCAGAACA